CGUGGGUCCCGCCGGCGGACCAUGUGACCUGGAGAGCUGGGUGGGGGCAUACCUCUCCUCCAAGAUCUAGGGGGUCUUCGCCCCAGCGAAGUGCUGUCAUCCCCGUGGGGCCCAGGUGGGUGGGUCAGAGCGUGGGAGAGCGUGGGGAUGCCCAGAAUCUGUCGCUGGCAGCAUGGCGAGGUGGGGACAGGGCGAGAACACUGCAGAGCGGGUAGAGGGGUGCAACGAAGCCUCAGCUUGGCUACAUCCUGGGUUACCCAGGUUGUGCCGUGACACCAUGCACAGAGCUACUGUGGUCACCCAGGUGGCUCCUGAUUCCAGCAGGAAGCGUGAGGACCAGACAGCGGCCGUGUAAAGGGCAAGCACUAACUGCUGAGCUCUGGGCACUUCAUGCAUGGCAGAGGAGGGUCCUUUGGACGCUGCGGUGGGGCACGCCCUUCCACUCCCUGCUGUCGUCACCCCCACCUCCUGCCCUUGCUGGCGAAGUCUGGGGUUUUACAACCGAGAAACUCAAACAGGAACGGUCUCAGCAGGAAGUGCACACUAGGUAGCGCUGAGAAACAAGAAGGGGCACCCAGGUGGGUGCCUCGCGGCCCCUCAGAGUGCUUCCUAUUUGCUUGGUAGGCUGCUGCUGCUCGCUGUCUAUAGGAUUUUUCCAUCUGUCGCAGCUGCAUUGGACUGUGACACAUUUACCCAAAGGAAGGAAAAAUCCCACCCGUGUCCAAGUUUCCUGACAACGGGGAGGGUAAGGAUAUUGCUGACAUCAGUUUCGACUUGAGUCGCGGAGCCCCUUCACUUAGGGCAGGGGAAGCCAAUCCCUCCUUCCUGGGGUGACCCGCCAGCUGCUCCUGCCCCAGCGCCACUUCAUCUCUCAAGGCAACUAUCAGGCGACUCGCAGACCUCAAGCUUGAACAAAUGAAAACAGGAAGGAGACAUUUGAAUGAAGGACGCCAUGAUGUCAUGUUGAAAGGAGAGCCCUGGCAGUUGGAGGGUCCCAGGGAGCUGAUGAAGACUUACACAGAAGGAAGGAGGUUCAGGUCCGGAUGCAGGUUCUCUCUUCAGGGCGCUGCAUUGCUAUCUGGGCUGUCUGCCUGGAGUUGCAGGGCUGGCACCACUUCCAACUCCACCCUUGGCAGUCCACUGGUGUAGUGGGUAGCCAUUCCAGCCUUGGCCCAGAAGUUCCAACCCCCAU